ACAAAAGUCAGCAAAUAAUCACUGUAAAAACGUCGCAAAGUUUAUGGUUUAUCAACGUUAGACAUCAGCUGCUUUUUUAACGUAUUUAAGUUAUUUAUAAAACAACGCUCAUUCAACGUUACAUAUACCAACGUUGAAAGUGUAGUAAUUAAAAAACGUUGAAAAAGUGUUACUUUGCCAACGUUAAUAAAACGUUGUUUUGACAAUGUUGAGGAAGUGGCACAUUAAAAAUUAUUGUCUCAAUAACUAGCCAUUACAAAAAUAGUUUGCCGUAAUAGAAAGGCAAGGAAAACUUAAUAGAAUGCAUGCAUAUGGUUUGAAAAUAUUUUAAUAAAGUUAUAUUUUAUAACCUAUUUUUAUUGAGAAUAAUUUAAAACUUAGAUAUUAUAUCAAAUUGUAUACAAUAUACAAAUAUCUCAGGGUAAAUUCGAUUUAUUCAGGGUUGAAGCAGAGGCAUUUAUUCCAUCUUGUUAGGUGAAAGAUGGAUGUUUAUUUUGUCCAACUGGUGUUCAUGCAAUGAAAACUGCCUAUAAUCAUUUUCCAAUCGAUGAUUUCUGCAACAAGCUCAGACUUAAAAGAGUUAAAGUAACUGGAGAUAAAGAAGUAUGCGAAG